rnacentral:tRNA from 1 species
GUGACUCUAGUUUAAUUGGUAGAACAUAAUGGUCUAGGUUCAAAUCCUAGGAGUUGCA